GACGAACGCUGGCGGCGUGCUUAACACAUGCAAGUCGAACGCAGUGGCGAACGGGUGAGUAACGCGUAAUCAACCUGCCCUUCAGAGGGGGACAACAGUUGGAAACGACUGCUAAUACCGCAUACUGAAGGAGGGGCUUGCGUCUGUUUAGCUAGUUGGGGGGGUACCGGGCCACCAAGGCGAUGAUCAGUAGGCGGUCUGGGAGGAUGAACGGCCAAAUUGGGAAUGAGAAAAGGCCCAGACUCCUACGGGAGGCAGCAGUGGGGAAUCUUCCGCAAAGGAAGGAAGUCUGAAGGAGCAAAGCCGCGUGAGUGAUGAAGGCCUUCGGGUUGUAAAGCUCUGUUAAUCGGGACGCGGUACCGGAAUAGAAAGCCACGGCUAACUACGUGCCAGCAGCCGCGGUAAUAC
rnacentral:rRNA from 1 species